rnacentral:rRNA from 1 species
AGUGAGCGCUGGCGGUAGGCCUAACACAUGCAAGUCGAACGGCAGCACAGUAAGAGCUUGCUCUUACGGGUGGCGAGUGGCGGACGGGUGAGGAAUACAUCGGAAUCUACUUUUUCGUGGGGGAUAACGUAGGGAAACUUACGCUAAUACCGCAUACGACCUACGGGUGAAAGCAGGGGAUCUUCGGACCUUUCGCGAUUGAAUGAGCCGAUGUCGGAUUAGCUAGUUGGCGGGGUAAAGGCCCACCAAGGCGACGAUCCGUAGCUGGUCUGAGAGGAUGAUCAGCCACACUGGAACUGAGACACGGUCCAGACUCCUACGGGAGGCAGCAGUGGGGAAUAUUGGACAAUGGGCGCAAGCCUGAUCCAGCCAUACCGCGUGGGUGAAGAAGGCCUUCGGGUUGUAAAGCCCUUUUGUUGGGAAAGAAAAGCAGCAGGUUAAUACCCCGCUGUUCUGACGGUACCCAAAGAAUAAGCACCGGCUAACUUCGUG